CCCCGCUCUGCUGAGAUUUGCAGCUGGACCAGCGUUCAGCGAGCUCUCUCCAUCCUUGCAGGAUGUAGCCGCUGCGAUGCCAGCCGCAGCAUCCCCGGGGCUGUAGACAACCGGCUCCCCCCACCCUUGCCCUGACCCUCCCCUUCCCUCCGAUCCCCUCCUGAGGGGGGCAAAUCAGGCCGAGGAAGCUCCCCCUCCUUCUCCUCCUCCUCUCGACUGGAUCCGGGCCAAGAGAGAGAGAGAGAGAGAGAGAGAGACCCGCAGUUCCACCCCACGCUUCAUCUUCUCCCCGCAGCGGAUUCCCUCACCUGCCUCCCUCCUCCCACCUCAGUCUCUCCUGGGUUCUAGCAUGGCCUGG